rnacentral:lncRNA from 1 species
AUGCCCAAGAGAAAGGCUGAAGGGGAUGCUAAAGGAGAUAAAGCCAAGGUGAAGGACGAAUCACACAGAAGAUCCAUGAGGUUGUCAGCUAAACCUGCUCCUCCAAAGCCAGAACCCAAGCGUAAAAAGGCCCCUGCAAAGAAGGGAGAGAAAGUACCCAAAGGGAAAAAGGGAAAAGCUGAUGCUGGCAAGGAGGGGAAUAGCCCUGUAGAAAAUGGAGAUGCCAAAACAGACCAGGCACAUAAAACUGAAGGUGCUGGAGACGCCAAGUGA